GGACAAAGGCGUCAAAAAAAAUGGGAAAGAAUGGCUACAUGCUCUUCUACGUGAAGAGUUGAGCGGCGACUGGUUGAGUGUUGGAGAGGAAAGGCUGGAAGACCGACUGGAAGUUUUCACUGUCCUGCUGUAAAAGUAUGGGUCAGUUAAUUAAACAUCUGCCCUCUGCUGGCCAGGUAUUGAACACUCAGCUAAAAUAUUCUGAAAGACAAGGGUGCCGAGAUAAGACAGUGAUACAAAUAAAAGACUAAAACAACAG